GUGCCCACUUCGGCAGCACAUGUGCUAAAAUUAGAAUGAUACAGAGAAGAUUAGUAUGGCCCCUGCGCAAGGGUGACAUGCAAAUUCAUGAAGCGUUCCAUAUUUAG
rnacentral:snRNA from 1 species